GAAUAAUUUGGACUUUCAAUUUUCAAUAUAUGUUAAGUGUUUAUAGAUUUGCUUAAUAUGUAAAAUUGUUAGGAUUUUGAAUUUCACAACCAAGGAGGAAAAGAGAUUUUACGGCCAAUAUAAACUUUAGUCAUCUUAAAGCAAAAAUUAAAGGUCCACUUUAGUUUGGCAGUAUAUGAAAGAAGCAUGUAUAAACUUCAUCUAGUAAGAAAUCCUCAAAUUAUCGCUAUCAAUAAUGAAGCGACUGAGGAAGUUGUCUAUACUCUAUGGUAACGCAAAGAUCUAAACGAGUCCUGCUAUAUAAUUUUCCACAAAGAGAUGUUAUAAAGGGUUUAAUCGUUUUCUUAUUAAAAAAGAUCCUAAGGAAAUCUUUACAAAUGCGAAUAAACAAGUAAAUAAACCCUUACAAAAAGAAAAAUGUGUACAAAAAUGGCUAGAAUAAGAAAUCCCCAAAAGAGAUGAGACCUAUAAAAAUUAAAAAAUUUAUAGAAACUGAAAAGCCUCUUGUAUUCCCAUUUAAAGGGUGAGAUUUUUUCUUUUAAGUUUUUCUAACUUUAUCAUUCAACUGUCCCAAUGAUGAUUAUCCUCAAUAGAUUUUAUUCAUUUAUUUUUUAUUUAGAUAUCUAAUUGUAAAUUUUAAAACUCAGAUUAAGAAGAUC
rnacentral:lncRNA from 1 species